CUACGGGGCGCACCAGUGGGGAAUAUUGCACAAUGGGCGAAAGCCUGAUGCAGCAACGCCGCGUGAGGGACGACGGCCUUCGGGUUGUAAACCUCUUUUAGCAGGGAAGAAGCGAAAGUGACGGUACCUGCAGAAAAAGCACCGGCUAACUACGUGCCAGCAGCCGCGGUAAUACGUAGGGUGCAAGCGUUGUCCGGAAUUAUUGGGCGUAAAGAGCUCGUAGGCGGUUUGUCGCGUCUGCUGUGAAAAUCCGAGGCUCAACCUCGGACCUGCAGUGGGUACGGGCAAACUAGAGUGCGGUGGGGGAGAUUGGAAUUCCUGGUGUAGCGGUGGAAUGCGCAGAUAUCAGGAGGAACACCAAUGGCGAAGGCAGAUCUCUGGGCCGUAACUGACGCUGAGGAGCGAAAGCGUGGGGAGCGAACAGGAUUAGAUACCCCAGUAGUC
rnacentral:rRNA from 1 species